rnacentral:tRNA from 1 species
GGGUUAGUAUGUUAACUGGUAAACAAUUUCAUUGUCAUUGAAAGGUAUGCCGGUUCAAAUCCGGCCUAACCCG